AGAUGGCCCAUGCCCUGCAGGAGCUGGCUGCUGCCCAGGGAUCCUUUGAGACUGCCUUCCCUGAUGCUGCGGAGAAAAUGAAGAAGGUCAUUACACAGCUUAAAGAAGCCCAGGCUUGCAUCCCUCCCUGCGGUCUCCAGGAGUUCGCCCGGCGUUUCCUCUGCAGCGGGUGCUACUCUAGGGUCUGCGACCUCCCGCUGGACUGCCCAGUUCAGGAUGUGACAGUGACUCGGGGCGACCAGGCUAUGUUUUCUUGCAUCGUGAACUUCCAGCUGCCAAAGGAGGAGAUCACCUAUUCCUGGAAGUUCGCAGGAGGAGCUCCGGACUCAGGACUUGUCCUAUUUCCGAGAUAUGCCGCGGGCCGAAGGAUACCUGGCGCGGAUCCGGCCGGCUCAGCUCACGCACCGCGGGACGUUCUCCUGCGUGAUCAAGCAAGACCAGCGCCCCCUGGCCCGGCUCUACUUCUUUCUUAACGGUGGGGCGGGGCGCGGCGGA
rnacentral:sRNA from 1 species